AAUAAGGUAGGAUAAUUUAGUCUGUCAGGUUCAUACCCUGAAUGUGUUUUCUCUUAUUA
rnacentral:tRNA from 1 species